GCUACCGUGGUGAAAAUGGCAUACACAAGAGACUUAAAAUCUCUCGGAGAAAUCCUUGCCCGUUCAAAUCGGGUCGGUAGUA
rnacentral:tRNA from 1 species